rnacentral:sRNA from 1 species
UCUGCUGUUUCUUCUUUUUUUUUAUCAUGUCAUAUCUUUCUUUUUUCCUCUUCAA